rnacentral:rRNA from 2 species
GUGGAUUAGUGGCGAACGGGUGAGUAACACGUGGGCAAUCUGCCCUUCACUCUGGGACAAGCCCUGGAAACGGGGUCUAAUACCGGAUAACACUCUGUCCCGCAUGGGACGGGGUUGAAAGCUCCGGCGGUGAAGGAUGAGCCCGCGGCCUAUCAGCUUGUUGGUGGGGUGAUGGCCUACCAAGGCGACGACGGGUAGCCGGCCUGAGAGGGCGACCGGCCACACUGGGACUGAGACACGGCCCAGACUCAUACGGGAGGCAGCAGUGGGGAAUAUUGCACAAUGGGCGAAAGCCUGAUGCAGCGACGCCGCGUGAGGGAUGACGGCCUUCGGGUUGUAAACCUCUUUCAGCAGGGAAGAAGCGAGAGUGACGGUACCUGCAGAAGAAGCGCCGGCUAACUACGUGCCAGCAGCCGCGGUAAUACGUAGGGCGCAAGCGUUGUCCGGAAUUAUUGGGCGUAAAGAGCUCGUAGGCGGCUUGUUGCGUCGGUUGUGAAAGCCCGGGGCUUAACCCCGGGUCUGCAGUCGAUACGGGCAGGCUAGAGUGUGGUAGGGGAGAUCGGAAUUCCUGGUGUAGCGGUGAAAUGCGCAGAUAUCAGGAGGAACACCGGUGGCGAAGGCGGAUCUCUGGGCCAUUACUGACGCUGAGGAGCGAAAGCGUGGGGAGCG